UAGGGAAUAUUGGGCAAUGGAUGCAAGUCUGACCCAGCCAUGCCGCGUGCCGGAUGAAGGCCCUCAGGGUUGUAAACGGCUUUUAUUCGGGAAGAAGAGCAGGGAUGCGUCCUUGUGUGACGGUACCGAAUGAAUAAGCACCGGCUAACUCCGUGCCAGCCGCCGCGGUAAUACGGAGGGUGCGAGCGUUGUCCGGAUUUAUUGGGUUUAAAGGGUGCGUAGGUGGCUGUUUAAGUCAGUGGUGAAAUACGGUUGCUCAACAAUCGAGGUGCCAUUGAUACUGAAUAGCUUGAAAUAAUUGGAGGCUGCCGGAAUGGAUGGUGUAGCGGUGAAAUGCAUAGAUAUCAUCCAGAACACCGAUUGCGAAGGCAGGUGGCUACGAUUGGUUUGACACUGAGGCACGAAAGCAUGGGGAGCAAAC
rnacentral:rRNA from 1 species